GGAGCCUGCUCCCACUCUGUGAACUGUACUUUCACUGCACUAAAUCUGUGCUUUUGUCACUUCUUUCUUUUGUUGUUUUGUUUUUCAUUGCUUCGUUCUUUUGUUGCUCUGCUUGUGCAUUUUGCUGAGUUCUUUGUUCAACACGCCAAGAACCUGGACAACUCACAGUCAAGACCUUCCAUCCAGUAACACUGGGGCUGUCACUAUGGCUAGUGCAGCUUAAGAGCCACCCCCUGCUUUUGUUCAACAUGAGCUAAUCCCAUCACCUCCCAAGCCUCUGGGUCUGCAAGCUGGGAGUAGAACUGGACUGCCUGCACAAAAGUGUUAGCAGCUCAGGGCCAGAACCCUUUAGACUGUCCCCAUGGAGCUGCCCAGGUGAUGAAAACAGAACUGGGAGGUGCUGGAUCUCAUGGCUGAUCAUGUCUCUGGGUUUGAUUUCGGCACACAAAGCUAAGCACUACCUGGAUGCAACUGCAACCAUUCAGGAUGCAACUGCAAGCCCUUCUGUGAGACAAACUUACUUUGGGCUUUAUUAUUUCUUCUACUCCUCAUUUUUCUAUAAAACUUCCUCAGUGAUUCAUUUGAUUCUUUCUUGUUAUAUAUACGUAUAUUGUGAUAAGUAAUGUUGCUUCAGUUUGUGUAAGUAGCACUGUCUUUGCUAUCUAUUGUUAUUGCAAACAACAGCCCUACAAUUUACUGAAUUGAAACAAUGACAACUGAUUAUUCCCCAUGACUUGGCAAUCUGGGCUGAGCUCAGCUGGGCUGGGUAAUAGUGUCUGAUGUGGUUGGAACAUCCAGGAUGGCUUCUUCACUUGGCUGGGAGCUGCCUGGACAUCCUUUCUCUCCAUGUGGCCAUUUUCCCAGAUGGGUAACUGAAUUUCCUUACCUGAGGCUCAGCACUGUAAGAGAGGGUGUCCCAGGAAUAUAAGCCCAACCUGCAUGCUCUUAUCAAGCCUGGGCCAUGCUUUCUGACAUCCACUGGCCAAAUCAAGUCAAAAGCCAAGGUCACUGGGAAGGACAGCACAAGGCGGUGAAUAUCAGGGAUCAUCAGGGCCACGAAAAUAAGCCCAUCACGGAUACAUGGGAAUAAUCAAAUGCAUAUAUUCAGAAAUGCAUAGAGCAAUAAAAUAACUUGGAAAAUAUUUCUGUAUCUCUGUAAAAGUUUUCCCUUGUUUGUCAAUUUGACCAACAGCUUACUAGUGAUCAAAU
rnacentral:lncRNA from 1 species